rnacentral:rRNA from 1 species
UACAGAGACUGCAAGCGUUACUCGGAUUCACUGGGCGUAAAGGGAGCGCAGGUGGGCUGGUGUGUCGGGUGUGAAAUCCCGGGGCUUAACUCCGGAAUGGCGCCCGAAACUACCGGCCUAGAGGAUUGGAGAGGCGGGUGGAAUUCCAGGUGUAGCGGUGAAAUGCGUAGAUAUCUGGAGGAACACCAACGGCGAAGGCAGCCCGCUGGACAAAUCCUGACACUCAGGCUCGAAAGCGUGGGGAGCAAAAGGG